UGACCUCAAAUCAGGUAGGACUACCCGCUGAACUUAAGCAUAUCAAUAAGCGGAGGAAAAGAAACUAACAAGGAUUCCCCUAGUAACUGCGAGUGAAGCGGGAAAAGCUCAAAUUUAAAAUCUGGCGGUCUUUUGGCUGUCCGAGUUGUAAUCUAGAGAAGUGUUAUCCGCGCUGGACCAUGUACAAGUCUCCUGGAAUGGAGCGUCGUAGAGGGUGAGAAUCCCGUCUUUGACAUGGACUGCCAGGGCUUUUGUGAUGCGCUCUCAAAGAGUCGAGUUGUUUGGGAAUGCAGCUCAAAAUGGGUGGUAAAUUCCAUCUAAAGCUAAAUAUUGGCGAGAGACCGAUAGCGAACAAGUACCGUGAGGGAAAGAUGAAAAGAACUUUGGAAAGAGAGUUAAACAGUACGUGAAAUUGCUGAAAGGGAAACGCUUGAAGUCAGUCACGUUGACCAGGGAUCAACCCUGCUUUUGCUUGGUGCACUUCCUGGUUUGAUGGGUCAGCAUCAAUUUUGACCAUUGGAAAAAGAUCAAGGGAAUGUGGCAUCUCUGGAUGUGUUUAUAGCCCUUGGUCACAUACAAUGGUUGGGAUUGAGGAACUCAGCACGCCCUUGUGGAGUGCUUAGGAUGCUGAUAUAAUGGCUUUAAUCGACCCGUCUUGAAACACGGACCAAGGAGUCUAACAUGCCUGCGAGUGUUUGGGUGGAAAACCCGAGCGCGUAAUGAAAGUGAAAGGUUGAGAUCCCUGUCGUGGGGAGCAUCGACGCCCGGACCAGACCUUUUGUGACGGUUCCGCGGUAGAGCAUGUAUGUUGGGACCCGAAAGAUGGUGAACUAUGCC
rnacentral:rRNA from 1 species